rnacentral:rRNA from 1 species
GACAGAGGUGCCGAGCGUUAGGCGGAAUCACUGGGCUUAAAGCGUGUGUAGGCGGGCCGUUAAGUGCCCCGUGAAAUCCCCCGGCUCAACCGGGGAACGGCGGGGCAUACUGGCGGCCUUGAGCCACUUAAGGGCAGACGGAACAAGCGGUGGAGCGGUGAAAUGCGUAGAUAUCGAGAGGAACACCGGUGGCGAAGGCGGCUAUCUGGACAGUGACUGACGCUGAGACGCGAAAGCGUGGGGAGCAAACAGG